rnacentral:rRNA from 1 species
GACGAACGCUGGCGGCGUGCUUAACACAUGCAAGUCGAACGGAAAGGCCCUGCUUUUGUGGGGUGCUCGAGUGGCGAACUGGUGAGUAACACGUGAGUAACCUGCCCUUGGCUUUGGGAUAACUUCAGGAAACUGGGGCUAAUACCGGAUAGGAGCUCCUGCUGCAUGGUGGGGGUUGGAAAGUUUCGGCGGUUGGGGAUGGACUCGCGGCUUAUCAGCUUGUUGGUGGGGUAGUGGCUUACCAAGGCUUUGACGGGUAGCCGGCCUGAGAGGGUGACCGGCCACAUUGGGACUGAGAUACGGCCCAGACUCCUACGGGAGGCAGCAGUGGGGAAUAUUGCACAAUGGGCGGAAGCCUGAUGCAGCAACGCCGCGUGCGGGAUGACGGCCUUCGGGUUGUAAACCGCUUUCGCCUGUGACGAAGCGUGAGUGACGGUAAUGGGUAAAGAAGCACCGGCUAACUACGUG